ACAAGCACUAAUUAUGGCCUUGUGAAGUACACUUUCCCUUUUUGCACUAUUUGUAAGAAAAUUGCAUACUUGUUCAAGAAUACUUGUUCAGUGUAACUUUUAUGGAUUCAACCAUGAAAAAAAAAAGUAAUGCCUUCCAGUCCUUAGUGUAAAUGAACACAUUUGAUGUGUAAAGACCUUGAAGAUGGACCUGUGGAUUAAUAGGGAACCAAGAACAAAGAAUUAGAAAACCAGGUUCAUUAAUUUCCACCUGUUACACAGUGGACAGUUUUGGGGAAGAGCCUUAACUUUACAGGCUUUGUUGGGAACAAGUUAUUAGGCACUCAAGUAUCUACCCAUAAAACAAAGAUUAUCUCCAUCUGGUGGACCGGUCACAAUAUGACUUUCCAAGGAUCAAUUUACCCUACCUUUGCGGCUAUACAAGUUUUUCUUAACUCUACCAGUACUAAGCCGGGGAUAUUUAAGGACAGAAUGGUGGUUUGUUAUUAUGGCUAGUGGAUAAACAUUCAUGUAACCAGAAGGAACAACACACAGCAAGCAGAGGAAACGAGAAAAUGUUUUAGAGAAGAAGCCGCAAGUCACCCUCUUGUCCUUAGGGGACUUUUGAGUCAAGACUGCUCCGGCUCCUACAGAAGAGGCGUCCACUUCGAAGUUGAACGGCUUGUCCAGGUCUGGUCUCGUCAGAACAGGUGCAGAGGCAAAUGCCACCUUCACACGAGAAAAGGCUUCCUCCGCUGUAGGUGGCCAAGACUUGGGAUUGGCUCCUUUCUUAGUAAGAGUCACAAUUGGAGCUACCAGGGUGGAGAAAUGCGGAAUGAUCUGCCGAUAGUAAUUGGCAAAGCAGAGAAAGCAUUAAAUAGCCUGCAGACCAGAAGGUUGUGGCCAGGUUAGGACCGAAGACAGUUUAUCAGGAUCCAUCCAAAAACCUUGGUUAGAUACAAUAUAGCCAAGGAACAGCAGAGACAACUUCUUGAAGAGACAUUUCUUGAGCUUGGCAUAGAGACGGUUGCUCCGAAGGCACCUGAUGCACUUGAGUGCGAUGGACUUCCAAGUUGGGCUAGAAGAUCAAGAUGUCGUCCAGAUACACCACAACACUUGCAUAAUGGAGAGCUUGAAAAAUGUCAUUGACAAAUUCUUGAAAAAUUGCCGCGGCAUUACAGAGAUUAUACACCCCUUGCAAGUCCAACUUGGUCAAAAUCUUUGCUCCCCAUAGGUGAUCAAAUAGUUCCGGGAGCGGAGUCUAAGGUGCUGCUGGUUUUAACCAGAGCCCACCGCAAAAAGGGAUGGACUUGCAGUGGCAGGCCACACCCAGGUCGCUACCCCUGAUAUGAUUCGUCCACACAGGAGGCCGAGAUGUAACGUGGAACUGGAUGGAUAAGGCAACUCGUAGUCAGGGCAGGCAGGAGGUCAGGGCAAGCAGCACAGUAACAAUGUCAGGUCAUGAAGCAAGAGGUCAGUGGGCAGGCGGCACAGGAGCAAGGUCAGAGUACGUAGCAACUGGGUCUGGAACACGGCAAGGCAAGGCACAAACAGAAUGCUUUCUCUUAGGCUGAUAAGGCACAAAGAUCCGGCAAGGGUCAAACGGAAGUGCUUGUACUUAUAGGGUCAUGGGAAAGCAAAAACCAAUUAAAUGUGUACUGUCACUUUAAAUAUCCCUGAGCCGGCACGCGCGUGCCCUAGGAGGUGGGGGUGCACUCGCCGGCAAGCAGGAAGUGUAUGGAGAUGACGGGGGAGGAAAGAAGCAGUGGCCAGGCUGCGAUCACAUCGUGGGAUGCGACAAGCAGCAGGAGGUAAGACGGGCAGCGGAGGAGGAGUGCAUCUGCAGCCAGCAUGUCUAACCGCUGCGCGACUUCUAACAUUAACCAUCACCAUACCACAGUCAGGUCGACCCGUACACAAUACAAUUGUAUGAAGCAACCUGAACUAACUAGUACCUAUAGUACCAUGGAUGUAGGGAACAAAAUGAAUAUAAAGAAAAGCUAAAAAAAAGAGAGAGAGAUACCUAAAUAUAGCAUGAAAAGGCACCAAAAACAUGAAAAAACAUACUUAAUAAUGAAAAAUGUAAUCUGUUCUGCAAUUUAAACCAAACGGUUGUGUAGUGCGCAGUGUGUUUAUCCAGUACACUUCUCUAUUUCGUAACAGUUUCACAUGAUCCCCACCUCGCCAGGGCUUAUGUAUGUGGUGGCCCAGUACAGGAGUUGCACCUCUGUACCCUUGCUGCCCUAUCAGGCAGACGCCAUUUGGUGACCCCCCUUGCCCUUGUACCCUAUGUAUAUUUCUAAGUGCCUGUGUUGUAUAGUGAAUUGCAUAUAUAAUGUGCUAUGCCUUUAAGACCUGUUGUAAUGUGAUUGUAACCAGGGAAGGUACCAGUAACCAUGUGACCUACAGGGUGACCUAUGGGACCCCUCAGAGUCUCCCCCAUAUAAGCCCUGGGUGGAGCCUCUGCUCUCUCUUUAUGCUUAGCUGAGUUGCAGUAAGGUCAAGUCCUGUAAAAGUGUGUCUGGAGUCCAGAGGAGGCCUAAAGUCUACCACGCAGCCAUGGAUCCACAAGUCCACUACCCCCCAGGUCCAAGUCAAAACCUGGUAAACUACAAACAGGGUAUUGCCAGUGUCAGCCAUGUCAGUCCAAGUCAAUCUGUCUCAGCAUGGCCUUGCAUCAAAUUGUCUAAGUCCACUAUAAGUCCCAGCAAGCCCUGUGGUCUCUGAAGUCACUGGUCACCUCCUUGGGCCUAACCAGGUUGUAUAGACUGUUACACCUGUCUGACUCAGUAAAGCUGUUGUUCCGUGAUAGAGAUGAGCAAAUCGAAUUUGAAGUUGAAUUUGUUCCGAAUUUCAUGAAAAAUUUGAUUUGGACCGAAUCCCAACUUCAACUUGAUUCAAAAUAACACAUUUUGAUUAGCGACACCCCUGCGAUCAUCCUGUAGAAUGUGUAGAUGUGAUCGGCUUUCUCCUGCGCUUGCAUCUAUGCAAUAGAUAGGAUGAUUGCAUCGAGUGUCAUGAGUGACACCUGUGAUCUGUCCUCAACUGCAGGUACUACUGCUCCCAACAUGGAGCACACUCUGUUCCAUGCUGGGAGCUGUAGUACCUGCAUUAAUAGACAGAUCGCAGCGGGUGUCACUUCUGACACUCGAUGCGAUCGCCCUGUAUAAUGUAUAGAUGCGGGCAGGCGGGCGGCCGGCCACUCUUCUCUGGUCCCACAGUAGUAUGAGUAUAUGCCGUAUAUAUACCUAUUAUUCAUAUUUCCCGCAGAGAAAUGUGAGUGGCUGUAACCAUCUGGCCAAUCACAGCUCUCUGCGGGAAAUAUGAAUAAGUGAUGUGAAUUCUAUUCACAUCACUGGCUGUCUGGAGUAUUGUGCAGAGAUGCAAGUGCCGGAGAAAGCCGCUCCAUCUCUGCAAUAGAAAGGACAAUCGCAUCAGGUGUCAGGAGUGACACCCAGGGCGAUCUGUCUAUAAGUACAGGUACUACAGCUCCCAUCAUGGAACAGUCUGUUCCAUGCUGGGAGUAGUAGUGCUACCUUCAAAAUUUCAAAAACAGAGAGAAAAAAAAGUGACACACACAUACAUACACACACACUUUAUUAAACACAAUCUUAAAAUACAUUACUAAUAAAAAAAUUUAAAAAAUAUUUUAAAAAAUAUAUAACUUUUACAUUUAAAUGGCCCUUUUCUACAUUUUUAUUAUUGUCGGCUACAUUUUUAGGUCCCUGCCCGCCCACAUAAAUUGAUCCCUGUUUAAAAAUUUACAUUAAAGGGGUAUUCCAGGCCAAAACUUUUUUUUAUAUAUCAACUGGCUCUGGAAAGUUAAACAGAUUUGUAAAUUGCUUCUAUUAAAAAAAUCUUAAUCCUUCCAAUAGUUAUUAGCUUCUGAAGUUGAGUUGUUGUUUUCUAUCUAACUGCUCAAUGAUGAUGUCACGUCCCGACAUCAUCAUUGAGCAGUUAGACAGAAAACUUCAG